rnacentral:tRNA from 1 species
UUUAAAGUGGCAGAGUAGUGCACUAGAUUUAAGGCCUAGAUAUAAAAGUUUUCUUUUCUUUAUAG